UACGUAGGGGGCUAGCGUUGUCCGGAAUCAUUGGGCGUAAAGAGCGUGUAGGCGGUCCGGUAAGUCCGCUGUGAAAGUCGGGGGCUCAACCCUCGAAUGCCGGUGGAUACUGUCGGGCUAGAGUGCGGAAGAGGCGAGUGGAAUUCCCGGUGUAGCGGUGAAAUGCGCAGAUAUCGGGAGGAACACCAAUGGCGAAGGCAGCUCGCUGGGACGGUACUGACGCUGAGGCGCGAAAGGCGUGGGGAGCAACAGG
rnacentral:rRNA from 1 species